UCGACCCAAAAUUGUAAACUUUUCGUUUUACGACCUCAACUCAAGCAAGAUUACCCGCUGAACUUAAGCAUAU
rnacentral:rRNA from 1 species